UUUUUUUCUUUUUUCUUUUUUUUUUUUUAGGGCUGCACCCACACCAUUUGGGGGUUUCCAGGCUAGGAGUUGAAUCAGAGCUGUAGCCACCAGGCUAUGCCACAGCCACAGCAACUCGGGAUCCGAGCUGCAUCUGCGACCUACACCACAGCUCAUGGCAACGCCAGAUCCUUAACCCACUGAGAGAGGCCAGGGAUCGAUCCUGCAUCCUCAUGGUUCCUAGUGGGGUUCGUUUCCACUGAGCCACGACGGGAACUCAAUAAUCUUUUAAAACAUGGGGAAAUUCUGACUGAACAAAAAAAUCAGGACACAAAUCUUUUUAGAAGAGCAUCAUUCCAAAUCUGUCUCAUUCCUCCAGAUUUUGAAAGUUUUCCCUGCUCUUUAAGUACUUUCACCAAAUUGUGAUCUUUUAGUGGCUCAUUGCCAAUCAUAUGGCUAAUCAACUAGAGGCUUGAGCAUUAUCAAACAAAAAUUCUGAACUCAGAAAAUCCAAUCCAUCUUUAUAAUCCUAAUCUGGUGUCAGCCUAGGGGUUAAAUAACCAGAAAUCCAUUAGCAAAACACCCUCCGUGUCAAGAGGGAGAGUAAAAGUAGGUGGUAGAGAAGAAUAAAUGAACAGAGAAGAAAUGGGGAAUUCAAAUGUCCAAGAUUUUUGUCCACACUCUAGUCCAUUAUCAAGAACAAUCUGGGAUCAUUCUAUUAGUGCCAUCUUUCAAACAAAGAUAAGGUCAUUCCAAAAUAUGACUUCUUUUGGACAAGACACUCCCUCUUGGGACUCAGUUGCCAGUGGGUAAGAUGGCACCUUGGGCUAAGAGGCCAAGGGAGAAGGGACCGAGGACAGAUAUUCCUACCGAAAAUCUUUUCUUAGCAUUUGAAAUGUUCCAAAAGAGUCUUGAUUCUCUCAAGUUGGAAGACUGUUUUCAUCAUGAGUGUUCUGAAAUACUAAGGUUACCAUAAAGGAUGACACAAAUGAUCCCAAGAUUACACGGUGGAAUUGGCAGAAUUAUUCAACAUGACUUCUUUCUCCAGCAAUUCUGGAUUAGCACAUAUGGCCAAGAAAGGAAAACCAGCAAACACAGCAUUUUAAAUUUGUGGGGACAUUUUUUGUUCCUUUUCACAGAGUAUCAUUUCAGUACUGAUGACAGUUUGCCUAAAACAAAGCCACAAAUAAAACCAACAAGAUUCCUAUGGUUAUUCUGAGCCAUAACCUAUAGUUUUAAAAUAUAGUUAAAGACCUCCUAAAUGUUGCAAUGCUCCAAUCCUUACCUCAUUUUUUUUUGCUAUUAUACAAGAAUUGUUAUAUUCUCAUUACAGCACAAUAAUGUGAACAUGAAUCAGGAGUAACUGCUCAUCACCUUUCCACCUAAUUUUUCUGUGUUUCUCUUUGAGACACAUUCACAAUCUCCCCAUGAAACCUGGAAUAUGAAUACCACCUUGACUGGAAAAGGGACUAAAAGGGAAAAAGAGAAAACCCAGACUCACUUAUCACUCCAAGAUGCAUCUCAAAUCAUCUCCCAAACUCCAAUUAUAGCAAUUAGUGGUCAAGGCAAAGCUCCCUGUCUAAGAAUGUGGUUCAGCAAAGUAAGCAAGGGUUUCCAUUCGCUUUACCGCAGACAACUGCUACUACUUACCGAGGUUAAAUUCAACCACCAAAGUAGCCAACAUCCUGGAAAUUAUCCUUUAGGAUAGAAGUAUAUAUUUGGUGUCUGCUUUCAAACACCCAGUUUACUUUAACCUGCAUGAACCAAACAAAAACAAAAACAAAAAACCCCUAGAAAAUGCCAAGAGAAUCCAGAAAUUUGUAGACAAUGAAACUCGGUACUUUAUGACGGAGGCUAAUAACAGGUUUUCUAUUUUACAAUGCAGCAACUAUCCUCAAAGCCAGUAUGUCAGAGGUCUACAUGGGACUCUCCAAGUAAAAAUAAAGCACCUACUAGGUUCAUAUUACUAUGCAGUUAAAAUUCAGAACUCAACCCAAGGGCACAAUCCUUCAUGAAUUACCAUGCACAUUCUACCUAGUAACCCCAAGCUACCCAUUAGUACUUGAAUUACUUUAGGUUCCCUUCCACCCUGGAAUGUGGCAUCACUUAAUAAAUAUAUAUUUGAAGCUAUAGAAUUAAAAUGUAAACAUAUUAAACAUGGUUAUAGUGAUGGUUGCACAACUACACACAUUUGUCAAAAUUCACCAGAUCUUACACUUAAAAUUGGCAAAUUUUAUGGCACAUAUAUUUGUACAUCAAAUUUCUCCAACUAAGCUGAUUAAGCAGUAUCAAUCCUAUCAGAGCCUCAUGGAGCAUGAUUGUGAACUGACAAUUAGCUCAUAAAACAUGGAAAUAACAGUGACGGGGGAGGAUACAGAGGGCAAGAAAAAAAAUCGUUUAGAACUACAACAGGGUUUCUCAGCCUCAGCACUACUGACAUUUGGGGCCAGAUGCUUCUUUGUUGUGGGGACCAUCCUGGGCAUUUUGUAGAAUGAUUAACAGCAUUACUGGCCUCCACUGAUUAGAUGCCAGUAGCAUCUCCCCACCCCCCCCCGCCGCCCUUUGGUUGUGACAACUGAAAAUGUUUCCAGACAUUCCCAAAGGUCCUCUGGUGGCAACUCCCCCCAACCCUGAUUGAGAACUUCUGUAUUAGAGCCUCAUAAUCAGAUCUACUAUGGAAAUUUAGCUCAAGCUAGUGGUGAAAGCUAACAAGCCCAGAGAAAGGAAAAAAAAAUGGAGAAUGUUGAUGACUUAGGAAUUACACAGCACACUUUCAAAUAUAGGAAAUCAAUACAAUCAAUGUCUUCCUUCAAAGCUAAUAACCACAGGUACUCUGGAAACACCUCAAGUAUAUUUUUACAGGCGUUGUCAUGAAACUUAUGGUUUCAUAGCCAUAAAUCAUCACCACUGACCAUAUCUCUCAAUAACUUCAUGAGUUGGUCAUUUGUUCUAAUGGAACAUAAAGGAAUUAAACAACUGCUCGUAUACUCGGAGGACAGGAUACAAAUACACCCCAGACUUUAAAAAAAAAUGACUUUUUAAAACUCAAGUUCCUAAAUUCAACAUUUAGUCAAAUUAAAAGAAAAACUGAUACCACUUCUGCUGCAAAUUAAGCUAACAGAACACAUAUUAAAUAAGGCCAUAUGUGAGAGAGACCACGAGUAAAUAGCUAGUUUGAUCUGUUCAGUUCCUAAUAUAUGAGAUACCAAGCUAAAAAAUAAAUUGUUUAAUAAUUCCACAUUUGGAGAUAUAUCCCAAGGAAAUAACCCCCCGAAGAAAUUAGACCAAAAAUAUUCAAAGCAUCGCUGACAUCCAUUAUUGCACAACUCCCAAUUCUGCAAACCAAGGCAAAGCGAUCAAUGUUAAUGCUUUAUCACACACAUUGAUGAUGGUUGAAAGAAACCUCAGUUUCUAAUCCAACGCCUGGUCUCCAAACCACUGAGAGGACCUGAAGGUAGUAAAGAGGGCUCACUCAAUAUUUUUAGAAUUUUUUUUUUUUUAUGAAAAGUGCCUAGACCAAGUUUUCAGGGAGUGGUACUAAGCUGCAAAGUUCAGAAAAACAAAGAAACAAGCACGUCAGAUGGAUAAAUGACCUGGUUAACAAUUACAUAUUUUUGUGUUACAUACCAAUUAUUAUUUGUAUGUAAAUAUCAUAUACAAAUAUAUUAUGUACAAAUACAAGCAAUUACAUUUCUAAAAAAUUCUUAAAAGUAUAAUCUGUUAGUCAAAAAACUUUCAGGUCACAAGAGUUAGGGAAAAUAUAAGAUGCCUUUCUACGGGGAAAUAAAAUACGGCCCCAGCAAUGAGAUAAGAAUGGGCAACAAACAUAUGAAAAUGUACACUUCCUCAUUAUUAAUCAGGGGCACAAAUUAAAAGCACCAUCAUACUAUUAAACAUCCACUAGACUGGAAAAGUAUUGAGAAAGUCUAAUGAGAUCAAGUGCUGACAAAGAUGUGAAAUAAUUAGAAUUCUCAUCAACCUACAACCACAUUUUAAAGCACUUAUUUUGUUUGUUUUUGGUUUAUUUAUUUAUUUUGUAUUUUUUUUAAAAUGGCCACUCGCCUCUGGCAUACAGAAGUUCCUGGGCCGUGGACUGAAUCCAAGCUACAGCUGCAGCCUACACUGCAGCUACAGUAACACUGGAUCUUUUAACCCACUGCACCAGGCCAGGGAGCGAACCCACACCUCUGCAGCAACCUGAGCUACUGCAGUUGGAUUUUUUUUUUUUCUAAACGCAUUUUUUUUUUUAUCAUUUUGCCUUUUUCUAGGGCUGCUUCCCGUGGCAUAUAGAGGAAUCAAAGCUUAAAAAUCAAGUUAAAUCUGUUUUUGCUCUGCAUUAAUUUAAUCCAUUGCUAAAACAGACUAAAGAACUGCUGCAUUAUAAAUGAGACUAGGCAGUGAAAACAGCCACUCCAUCUUUGAGAAACAAAAGUAUAUAUUAUGAAAAACACCUAGACAAAAUUGUUUUUAAAAGCAUUCGCUGUUUUUUUAAUUACUCAAGUAAUUCAUGCUAUGUGUAAGGGGAGAAGAAAAGUCUUAGAAAACAAAGACAAACACAAAGAAAAACGUAACGCAUGAAUCAUCCUACCACCCAACCAUAACUAUUAACAUUUGGAUGUGGGUCCCCCUCUAGGAUUUGUCACAUGCAUUUCUUAACUUACGAAACUGGCAUACCAAAUAUACAUACUGUUUUGUGGACAGUUUAUUUGAACAGUUUUUAUUAAAAAAUUUAUGUACACACCUCUCUUUUGCUGUAUUUUUCUCUCAAAACAAUUGCCAUGCUAGAUAUACAGAGUUCAGUCCUGACAGCUUAAGACUCUGAUCCCAGUUGUCAACCAUAUGGAGAAAUGCAUUUCACCUACAUUUGUCAUCUAGACCAAACGGAAGCCCCCCCCCCCCCCACUCCAAAAGCCCUCCCUGAGCCACUACUCAGAGCUGCCUGUUCUAAGCUGUUUAUAAAAAUUGUCAGGCCAGCUACUGCCUCUGUAGACCGGGAGUAUCUAAUGAAAAAUACAACAUGCAAAGCUGUUACUUGUUUGUCCUCAAAACAUCUCUGAAGAAUAUAAACUAAAACAACUGCUAACCUUACUUUGCAAACAGAGCAGCUCUGUUAAGGAGAUUAAUGAGUAACUUGUUGAAUAACUUGCUCCUUCCCUAUAGCAGAACCUUCAUCCCUUAAACAAGGCUUACUGCAAACUCAGACUUCCAUUAGUGUUGCUGGCUGAAUGCUUUGCCACACCUAUUACACCUGUUAUCAGCAAGCAAUUUAGCAUCGACUGCCUUUAGAAUGCUGGGCUUCCUCUGCCACUGAAGAGUACUGUUUACAAUCUCAUGCCUCUUGCAUGAACAAAUUGGGCUUUUCUUAACUUUGCAUCUCCACGCCGACCUCCUCUCUUAAUUCCAAACCUGCCUUUCUAACAAUUUCAAACAUCCACCUCAUCACCCUUCUUGGUUAGCCAAUGGAGCUUUCCUGUUAGGAAAACGGAGGGAAUAAAGAGGAAAGGAAUCAUGCUCAUUCGGCCAUUAUCUCACCAGAACUAUGAAGAGCCACUCUUCCCAGAAGGGCAAAGCACGGGCUGUGGCAGAUCUGUCCAGGAACCUACACAGUCCAGUGGCCAGGAGUUCACUGGUCCUGCUCAUCUCUCCACCACUCUCAUUGGCUUAGGUUUCCCCUUUCCCUGCUGUUCCUCCCCAUGUUUCUUUCUCCUGUCCCUACACCAGCUCUCUCUCUUGUAUCUCCAGUUCAGAUGUCUAAAAAAGAACUGCUCCACUCAGCCCUUACAAGCCUAAUCAUCUCAAGUUCCACUGACCAGCCAAUGAGCAAAUAUCCAAAGGUCAGACCCCUUUCCCUGAUCAAUUAACUGUGACCAUGGUGGAUGGCGGGAAGGGUCAGGAAAGACAGAGCUGGCCAAAAGCAAAGAAUGGUCCAGCACCAUUUUUGCCAGCAAAAGACCGAAGUGAGCAAGCUUCUGCGAGCUGGCCUGUCUUGUAACUAAACACAUCAUAUUAGUGGGCUGUCUCAAACUAAACACAUCAUAUGAGUCUCAAACCAACUUCUUCUAAGGUCUGCAUUUCUAUGAGGGCAUCACCAUUAUCCAAAUUCGUCAAGCACAAAACACUGGUGUUCUCACUCAUUCACAAAUAUCCUUGGCACAGUAUA
rnacentral:lncRNA from 1 species